rnacentral:rRNA from 1 species
UAGGGAAUCUUCGGCAAUGGGGGGAACCCUGACCGAGCAACGCCGCGUGAGUUAAGAAGGUUUUCUGAUCGUACAUCUCUGUUGUUAAGGAAGAACGAGUGUGAGCAUGGAAAGUUCAUGCUUUUACGGUACUUAACCAGAAAGUCACGGCUAACUACGUGCCAGCAGCCGCGGUAAUACGUAGGGCGCAAGCGUUAUCCGGAAUUAUUGGGCGUAAAGAGCUUGUAGGCGGUUCGUCGCGUCUGGUGUGAAAGCCCAUCGCUUAACGGUGGGUUUGCGCCGGGUACGGGCGGGCUAGAGUGCAGUAGGGGAGACUGGAAUUCCCGGUGUAACGGUGGAAUGUGUAGAUAUCGGGAAGAACACCAAUGGCGAAGGCAGGUCUCUGGGCUGUUACUGACGCUGAGAAGCGAAAGCGUGGGGAGCGAACAGG